AUUGAACGCUGGCGGCAGGCCUAACACAUGCAAGUCGAGCGUGAAAGGGCUUCGGCCUGAGUAAAGCGGCGGACGGGUGAGUAACGCGUAGGAAUCUACCUGGUAGUGGGGGAUAACGUUCCGAAAGGAACGCUAAUACCGCAUACGUUCUGAGGAAGAAAGCAGGGGACUGCAAGGCCUUGCGCUAUCAGAUGAGCCUGCGUCCGAUUAGCUAGUUGGUAGGGUAAAGGCCUACCAAGGCGACGAUCGGUAACUGGUCUGAGAGGAUGAUCAGUCACACUGGAACUGAGACACGGUCCAGACUCCUACGGGAGGCAGCAGUGGGGAAUAUUGGACAAUGGGGGGCAACCCUGAUCCAGCCAUGCCGCGUGUGUGAAGAAGGCCUCGGGUUGUAAAGCACUUUAAGCGGGGAGGAAGGCCGUGAUGGCUAAUAUCCAUCAGGAUUGACGUUACCGCCAGAAUAAGCACCGGCAAACUUACGUGCCAGCAGCCGCGGUAAU
rnacentral:rRNA from 1 species